rnacentral:misc_RNA from 1 species
UUCUUAAAACCCUUGGCCCUUGGUCCCCUGUUUAGCUCAUUCAAAACAUUAAUACUCAUUGCGAAAACCAAAGUAACCAUUGCCUCGCCCUCUGGGUUUAUAUUUGCUGUCAACAGCCAACCACCCAUUUGCAUUUAUUCUUGAAUCAUAACUAGUAGAUCCAAAACCACCUGUGCCAGACCUAAAAAUGUUUCCAUACUGACCAUAAAAUUUGUUUUGGUAUGUGCCAUUUAUGAAUCCAUGACUUGAUCCCAUACCAGACAUAUGAAUAGGUUGAUGCAAACGUGAGAAGUGA